rnacentral:rRNA from 1 species
AGCAGCCGCGGUAAUUCCAGCUCCAAUAGCGUAUAUUAAAGUUGUUGCAGUUAAAAAGCUCGUAGUUGAAUUUCGGGAUCAGUUGGUCGGUCGUGCCUCGGUACGUACUGGUCAAAUUGAUUCCUACCUUCUGACGAACCACGAUGUCAUUAAUUUGGUGUCGCGGGAAAUCAGGACUGUUACUUUGAAAAAAUUAGAGUGUUUAAAGCAGGCUCGCGCUUGAAUACAUUAGCAUGGAAUAAUGAAAUAGGACGUUUGAUUCUAUUUUGUUGGUUUCUAGGAUCGACGUAAUGAUUAAUAGGGAUAGUUGGGGGCAUUAGUAUUCAAUUGUCGGAGGUGAAAUUCUUGGAUUUAUUGAAGACUAACUACUGCGAAAGCAUUUGCCAAGGAUGUUUUCAUUAAUCAAGAACGAAAGUUAGGGGAUCGAAGACGAUCAGAUACCGUCGUAGUCUUAACCAUAAACUAUGCCGACUAGGGAUCGGAUGAUGUUAAUUUUUAAUGACUCAUUCGGCGCCUUACG